rnacentral:lncRNA from 1 species
AAACAAAACCUACAUCUACAUGUUAAAACAAAUACUGCUUGCCUUGUACGCAGGAAGAGUUAUAGGGCUGGUUAGGUCUUCAGGUGGGCAGGCCAAUGAGUAGACUUCAGUUGUGGAUAACGGAAAGAGACGGUCACUUCUGAUAGAAUAAGGGCUGAGCACAGAAGGCAAACAGGGUCAAGUUUGAUCCGCCGGCAGACUCAAGACUGACACAAGGAACCACGGACAGGAUUAAACCAGUAGUCACUAGUUUGAAUAAAAGUCAUCCAAAGCCAAAAGUCAGGAAUGAAGCUUAGGCUGGAGAAGCAGAGUACUGUACAGCAUCAGGGGGCAGUGACAUGGUUUUCG